rnacentral:rRNA from 2 species
CGCCCUUUUCCGGUUGAUCCUGCCGGACCCGACUGCUAUCGGAUUGAGAUUUAGCCAUGCGAGUUGAACGUCCCUUGAUUGCAGGGGGCGUAGCAUACGGCUCAGUAACACGUAGUCAACCUGCCCUGGAGACGCGGAUAACCCCGGGAAACUGGGACCAAUCCGUGAUAGGUCGCCCCAUCUGGAAGGAGGGGCGGCCCAAAGGGGAGUUGUGGGCUUCCACUUUUCUCGCUCUAGGAUGGGACUGCGGCCGAUCAGGCUGUUGGCGGGGUAAUGGCCCACCAAACCUGUAACCGGUACGGGCCUUGAGAGAGGUGGCCCGGAGAUGGACACUGAGACAAGGGUCCAGGUCCUACGGGGCGCAGCAGGCGCGAAACCUUCGCAAUGUGCGAAAGCAUGACGAGGUUAAUCCGAGUGGCUUCCGCUGAGGAAGUCUUUUGCCGACUGUAAAAAGGUCGGAGAAUAAGGGGAGGGCAAGUCUGGUGUCAGCCGCCGCGGUAAUACCAGCUCCUCGAGUGGUCGGGGCGAUUAUUGGGCCUAAAGCAUCCGUAGCCGGUUCCGUAGGUCUCCUGCAAAAUCCAGUCGCUCAACGAUUGGCCCGCAGGAGAUACCGCGGGACUAGGAGGCGGGAGAGGUGGACGGUACUCCACGUGUAGGGGUAAAAUCCUUUGAUCCGUGGAAGACCACCAGUGGCGAAGGCGGUCCACCAGAACGCGCUCGACGGUGAGGGAUGAAAGCUGGGGGAGCGAACCGGAUUAGAUACCCGGGUAGUCCCAGCCGUAAACGAUGCUAGCUAGAUGAUCCGAUCGUAAAUCAUGAUCGGAGUGUCGCAGGGAAGCCGUUAAGCUAGCCGCCUGGGGAGUACGGUCGCAAGACCGAAACUUAAAGGAAUUGGCGGGGGAGCACCACAAGGGGCGAAGCCUGCGGUUCAAUUGGAGUCAACGCCAGGAAACUUACCAGGAGAGACAGCAGAUUGAGGGUCAGACUGAAGAUCUUACCUGACGAGCUGAGAGGAGGUGCAUGGCCGUCGCCAGCUCGUGCCGUGAGGCGUCCUGUUAAGUCAGGCAACGAGCGAGACCCAAAGGGCGAAUU